rnacentral:rRNA from 1 species
GUGGGGAAUCUUGCGCAAUGGGCGAAAGCCUGACGCAGCAACGCCGCGUGCGGGAUGACGGCCUUCGUGGUUGUAAACCGCUUUCAGCAGGGACGAAAAUGACGGUACCUGCAGAAGAAGCCCCGGCUAACUACGUGCCAGCAGCCGCGGUAAUACGUAGGGGGCAAGCGUUGUCCGGAUUCAUUGGGCGUAAAGAGCUCGUAGGCGGUUCAGUAAGUCGGGUGUGAAAGCUCCGAGCUCAACUCGGAGAGGCCACCCGAUACUGCUGUGACUUGAGUCCAGUAGAGGAGCGUGGAACUCCUGGUGUAGCGGUGAAAUGCGCAGAUAUCAGGAAGAACACCUGCAGCGAAGGCGGCGCUCUGGGCUGGAACUGACGCUGAGGAGCGAAAGCGUGGGUAGCAAACAGGAUUAGAUACCCGAGUAGUCC